GGUUGCAAAGACAAAGGUUUCCUGUCCUUCCUGAGGCCAGCAGAGAGACAAGGACUUGGGCCCUCCCUCUUUAUCCCUGCCUGGCUCUUGGGUUCUCUUUGGUUUGAUCUUCACACAUGCUGGCCCUCUGGAGUGUGUCAUCUCUGGAAUGGGUCCAGCCUCUGCCAAGAGAAUGGCCAGUGGAGGAGGCCAUAACCCCUGCACCAGACAUAGGCCCAUUUACCUUCUCAACUAGGAAGUCAGGCUUGAGGAUGUUGGCGAGGGGCCCUACAGGACAAUAGCUUUUGCCCAGCCAAGCUCUGAGCCAUCCUCUGAAGUUCCUAUGAUGGCAGCUUCAAAGUAGCUGAACCUUGGAUUGUUCCAAGUUCCCCCUAAUACCAGGCACCUGAAGUGACUGUCCAAAUCCACGGCAUGAGUGCUGGCCCCAGUCUAGGCUGCCAUCUUGGGACCACUCCUAUAUGACCUGAACAGACUUGAUCAGGGCUUUCCCUGAGCAACACUCCCCAUAGCUCUGCAAUCUCCAUGAUCUCUGUUUGAAAGCAGUGAUGAAUCUCCACAUUUCAUCCACCUUGUCUCCACUAAGUGAGGACAGAAAGAGCCCAUUCUCCUGGAUCCCUCUCCAGUUGAUUGGCUCUGAGGGUGGGGGCUUGUCCAGGCCCCUGAAGGCUUCUGCUUAGGAAACUCAAACAGUACUGGAUAUUUUUACACGUGUGUGUCAUCUCUGGAAUGGGUCCAGCCUCUGCCAAGAGAAUGGCCAGUGGAGGAGGCCAUAACCCCUGGACCAGAGGCAGGGUACAGUCACCUC